GUAGGUGAACCUGCGGAAGGAUCAUUAACACGUAUCCACGUAUCAACCAAACGGUAACUGUACCUCCCUGGUAAUUGUUGAGCUGUUUAAUUGAGUCAUGGUGGGUAUGCAUUCGUGCAUACGACUCGGUUCGACUAGGGCUUCGAGCUCAAGGCGCAACGCUUUAUCAGGCUUUUCUUUCCCAUCAUACCUUUCCAUCUUAAGGUACGACGAGAAUCUAACCAACCUAUUUAACCCUACUUAAUACAUU
rnacentral:misc_RNA from 1 species